rnacentral:rRNA from 1 species
UACGGAGGGUGCGAGCGUUGUCCGGAAUCAUUGGGCGUAAAGGGCGCGUAGGUGGCCCGGUCAGUCGAUGGUGAAAGCGCGGGGCUCAACUCCGCGUCGGCCGUCGAUACUGCUGGGCUUGAGCACUGUAGAGGCAGGCGGAAUUCCGGGUGUAGCGGUGGAAUGCGUAGAGAUCCGGAAGAACACCGGUGGCGAAGGCGGGUCUCUGGGCCGAUACUGACGCUGAGGAGCGAAAGCGUGGGGAGCGAACAGG